UUCAGAGGUUGUCUCUGUCGUUACCCACAAGUUGGAUACGGGAAUGCAACUGUUGA
ncrna:unclassified sequences Transposase-1 RNA